rnacentral:rRNA from 1 species
UGCUGGAGGUAUCAGAAGUGCGAAUGCUGACAUGAGUAACGAUAAUGCGGGUGAAAAACCCGCACGCCGGAAGACCAAGGGUUCCUAUCCCAUGUUAAUCAGGGUAGGGUAAGUCGACCCCUAAGGCGAGGCCGAAAGGCGUAGUCGAUGGGAAACGGGUUAAUAUUCCCGUACUUGGUAUAAUUGCGAUGGGGGGACGGAGCAGGCUAAGCAAGCAUGGCGUUGGUUGUCCAUGUGAAAGUGAGUAGGUUGAGAGUUUAGGAAAAUCCGGACUCUUAAGACUGAGACACGAGACGAGCCACUAAGGUGGUGAAGUUGUUGAUGCCAUACUUCCAGGAAAAGCCUCUAAGCUUCAGAUUAUACCGAAUCGUACCCCAAACCGACACAGGUGGUCAGGUAGAGAAUACUAAGGCGCUUGAGAGAACUCGGGUGAAGGAACUAGGCAAAAUCGUACCGUAACUUCGGGAGAAGGUACGCUCCGAUUGGUGAUGAGACUUGCUCUUUAAGCUGAUUGGAGCCGCAGUGACCAGGUGGCUGGGACUGUUUAUUAAAAACACAGCACUGUGCAAAAUCGCAAGAUGACGUAUACGGUGUGACACCUGCCCGGUGCCGGAAGGUUAAUUGAUGGGGUUAGUUUUCGGACGAAGCUCUUGAUCGAAGCCCCGGUAAACGGCGGCCGUAACUAUAACGGUCCUAAGGUAGCGAAAUUCCUUGUCGGGUAAGUUCCGACCUGCACGAAUGGUGUAACCAUGGCCACGCUGUCUCCACCCGAGACUCAGUGAAAUUGAAAUCGCAGUGAAGAUGCUGUGUACCCGCGGCUAGACGGAAAGACCCCGUGAACCUUUACUACAGCUUGGCACUGAACAUUGAACCUACAUGUGUAGGAUAGGUGGGAGGCUUUGAAGCAGAGACGCUAGUCUUUGUGGAGCCGUCCUUGAAAUACCACCCUUGUAGUUUUGAUGUUCUAACGUUGGCCCCUAAUCGGGGUUACGGACAGUGCCUGGUGGGUAGUUUGACUGGGGCGGUCUCCUCCCAAAGAGUAACGGAGGAGCACGAAGGUUGGCUAAGUACGGUCGGACAUCGUACGGUUAGUGUAAUGGUAGAAGCCAGCUUAACUGCGAGACAGACACGUCGAGCAGGUACGAAAGUAGGUCAUAGUGAUCCGGUGGUUCUGAAUGGAAGGGCCAUCGCUCAACGGAUAAAAGGUACUCCGGGGAUAACAGGCUGAUACCGCCCAAGAGUUCAUAUCGACGGCGGUGUUUGGCACCUCGAUGUCGGCUCAUCACAUCCUGGGGCUGAAGUCGGUCCCAAGGGUAUGGCUGUUCGCCAUUUAAAGUGGUACGCGAGCUGGGUUUAGAACGUCGUGAGACAGUUCGGUCCCUAUCUGCCGUGGGCGUUUGAGAAUUGAGAGGGGUUGCUCCUAGUACGAGAGGACCGGAGUGAACGAACCGCUGGUGUUCGGGUUGUCAUGCCAAUGGCAUUGCCCGGUAGCUACGUUCGGAACUGAUAAGCGCUGAAAGCAUCUAAGCGCGAAGCAGGCCUCGAGAUGAGUUCUCACUAGACUUUU